GAUGAACGCUGGCGGCGUGCUUAACACAUGCAAGUCGAACGGUGAAGCAGAGCUUGCUCUGUGGAUCCGUGGCGAACGGGUGUGUGACACAUGAGCAUCAUCCCCCCGACUCUGGGGUAAGCCCCGAGAACGGCGUCUAUUACAGCAUAUAGGCUCCGCCCCCAUGUGCAGCGGUUGGGAAGGUUUUUCGGUCUGGGAUGGGCUCACGGCCUAUCAGCUUGUUGGUGGGGUAAUGGCUCACCAAGGCGUCGACGGGUAGCCGGCCUGAGAGGGUGACCGGCCACACUGGGACUGAGACACGGCCCAGACUCCUACGGGAGGCAGCAGUGGGGAAUAUUGCACAAUGGGCGAAAGCCUGAUGCAGCAACGCCGCGUGAGGGAUGACGGCCUUCGGGUUGUAAACCGCUUUUGGCAGGGAAGAAGCGAAAGUGACGGUACCUGCAGAAAAAGCGCCGGCUAACUACGUG
rnacentral:rRNA from 1 species